CCAUGGAGAACAAUAUUUUGGAGGGAAACUCGAAACAUGUUUCUGAAUUAUAAACUAUUAAAAAAAUUACAGUUAUUUAAAAACCUGUAGAAAAAAAAAAAAUAAAUAUUUAGAAUAAUUUAAAAUUCCGAAUACGUUCCUUCCAAAAUAUUAUUUUCUAUAUAUUUCAUAACAGGUAUAGGUAGGUACUUCUAAUCUAAAAUCAAAAUUAAUCCAGUUUUACGAUAGGCUGCGUAAGCAUUGUUUUUGUAUGUUAUCCGGUAUAAUAUAGUUGGACUGAGACAGCAGACGCUAGUGUGACGUCCUCUUAAGAUAAAAUAGUUAUAAAAAAAAACGCCACUGUAGAUAUUAAUGAUUAAAAGAUUUAAAUGUUUGGUAUUGUCUUAC